UUCGGGCCUCUCACUAUCGGAUGAACCCAGAUGGGAUUAGCUAGUAGGCGGGGUAACGGCCCACCUAGGCGACGAUCCCUAGCUGGUCUGAGAGGAUGACCAGCCACACUGGAACUGAGACACGGUCCAGACUCCUACGGGAGGCAGCAGUGGGGAAUAUUGCACAAUGCGCGCAAGCCUGAUGCAGCCGUGCCGCGUGUAUGAAGAAGGCCUUCGGGUUGUAAAGUACUUUCAGCGGGGAGGAAGGCGAUGUGGUUAAUAACCUCGUCGAUUGACGUUACCCGCAGAAGAAGCACCGGCUAACUCCGUGCCAGCAGCCGCGGUAAUACGGAGGGUGCAAGCGUUAAUCGGAAUUACUGGGCGUAAAGCGCACGCAGGCGGUCUGUUAAGUCAGAUGUGAAAUCCCCGGGCUUAACCUGGGAACUGCAUUUGAACUGGCAGCUUGAGUCUCGUAGAGGGGGGUAGAAUUCCAGGUGUAGCGGUGAAAUGCGUAAGAUCUGGAGGAAUACCGGUGGCGAAGGCGGCCCCCUGGACGAAGA
rnacentral:rRNA from 1 species